rnacentral:rRNA from 1 species
AUUGAACGCUGGCGGCAGGCCUAACACAUGCAAGUCGAGCGGAGCGACGGACGGGUGAGUAAUGCCUACGAAUCUGCCUGGUAGUGGGGGAUAAGGUACGGAAACGGGCGCUAAUAACACAUACUAUCAGAUGAGCCUAGGUCGGAUUAGCUAGUUGGUGGGGUAAAGGCCUACCAAGGCGACGAUCCGUAACUGGUCUGAGAGGAUGAUCAGUCACACUGGAACUGAGACACGGUCCAGACUCCGACGGGAGGCAGCAGUGGGGAAUAUUGGACAAUGGGCGAAAGCCUGAUCCAGCCAUGCCGCGUGUGUGAAGAAGGUCUUCGGAUUGUAAAGCACUUUAAGUUGGGAGGCGUUACCAACAGAGUAAGCACCGGCUAACUUCGUGCCAGCCGCCGCGGUAAUUC